UAACCUGCCCAAGAGAUCGGGAUAACACCUGGAAACAGAUGCUAAUACCGGAUAACAACAGAUGAUGCCUAUCAACUGUUUAAAAGAUGGUUCUGCUAUCACUCUUGGAUGGACCUGCGGUGCAUUAGCUAGUUGGUAGGGUAACGGCCUACCAAGGCGAUGAUGCAUAGCCGAGUUGAGAGACUGAUCGGCCGCAUUGGGACUGAGACACGGCCCAAACUCCUACGGGAGGCAGCAGCC
rnacentral:rRNA from 1 species